UUCUUUCCAUCUUAGUGGCGGACGGGUGAGUAACGUGUGGGCAACCUGCCCUGUACUGGGGAAUAAUCAUUGGAAACGAUGACUAAUACCGCAUGUGGUCCUCGGAAGGCAUCUUCUGAGGAAGAAAGGAUUUAUUCGGUACAGGAUGGGCCCGCAUCUGAUUAGCUAGUUGGUGAGAUAACAGCCCACCAAGGCGACGAUCAGUAGCCGACCUGAGAGGGUGAUCGGCCACAUUGGGACUGAGACACGGCCCAAACUCCUACGGGAGGCAGCAGUGGGGAAUAUUGCACAAUGGGCGAAAGCCUGAUGCAGCAACGCCGCGUGAAGGAUGAAGGGUUUCGGCUCGUAAACUUCUAUCAAUAGGGAAGAAACAAAUGACGGUACCUAAAUAAGAAGCCCCGGCUAACUACGUGCCAGCAGCCGCGGUAAUACGUAGGGGGCAAGCGUUAUCCGGAAUUACUGGGUGUAAAGGGAGCGUAGGCGGCAUGGUAAGCCAGAUGUGAAAGCCUUGGGCUUAACCCGAGGAUUGCAUUUGGAACUAUCAAGCUAGAGUACAGGAGAGGAAAGCGGAAUUCCUAGUGUAGCGGUGAAAUGCGUAGAUAUUAGGAAGAACACCAGUGGCGAAGGCGGCUUUCUGGACUGAAACUGACGCUGAGGCUCGAAAGCUGGGGAGCAAACA
rnacentral:rRNA from 1 species